GCAACAACAAAAAAAACGUUGAUGUAUAUGUAAUACUAACUUUUUUGUUCAAUCUGCAGAAGAACAGGAACAUGAAUUACAGGUCAAGAAAAAAGAUACCAAAAGAUAGUGAAGCAGAUUCAUUCUUAGAUUUCACAUAAAGAGGCAGCCAAAAAGCAAAAGCGCGAACAGAAACUACAAUUAGCAGAAAAAGAACAAAACUAAAGGAGAAGCGAUUCACCUAAAAUGUGUAGUUCUUCGAAUCACGAACUGCUGGUAAUUUGAAGACAGAGAAAGAGCAAUGCAGGAAGGUUGAAUUCUACUAACAUCCAGCAACAGUAAAAACGACGGCGCUGCGAUGGUGGCGAUAUACGCGCAGGAAUUAAGAAGCUGAGUUCAUUCUUCCUUCCUCCAUCACAGAUUCAGAGUGCAGCACCACUGUUUACUUCUUUCUGCUUCCAACAACACACACAUUGUAGAGAGAGAAUAUAAUAUUAUCAAAAGCGACGAGUUUUAAUA